rnacentral:rRNA from 1 species
AUUGAACGCUGGCGGCAUGCCUUACACAUGCAAGUCGAACGGCAGCACGGGAGCAAUCCUGGUGGCGAGUGGCGAACGGGUGAGUAAUAUAUCGGAACGUGCCCAGUCGUGGGGAUAACGUAGCGAAAGCUACGCUAAUACCGCAUACGAUCUAUGGAUGAAAGCGGGGGAUCGCAAGACCUCGCACGAUUGGAGCGGCCGAUAUCAGAUUAGGUAGUUGGUGAGGUAAAGGCUCACCAAGCCGACGAUCUGUAGCUGGUCUGAGAGGACGACCAGCCACACUGGGACUGAGACACGGCCCAGACUCCUACGGGAGGCAGCAGUGGGGAAUUUUGGACAAUGGGCGCAAGCCUGAUCCAGCAAUGCCGCGUGCAGGAUGAAGGCC